CUACGGGUCGCUGCAGUGGGGAAUAUUGCACAAUGGAGGAAACUCUGAUGCAGCAACGCCGCGUGGAGGAUGACACUUUUCGGAGCGUAAACUCCUUUUAUAUAGGAAGAAGAUGACGGUACUAUAUGAAUAAGCGCCGGCUAACUCCGUGCCAGCAGCCGCGGUAAUACGGAGGGCGCAAGCGUGACUCGGAAUCACUGGGCGUAAAGAGCGUGUAGGCGGAUUAAAAAGUCAGAAGUGAAAUCCUAUAGCUUAACUAUAGAACUGCUACUGAAACUCUUAAUCUAGAAUAUGGGAGAGGUAGAUGGAAUUUCUGGUGUAGGGGUAAAAUCCGUAGAGAUCAGAAGGAAUACCGAUUGCGAAGGCGAUCUACUAGAACAUUAUUGACGCUGAGACGCGAAAGCGUGGGGAGCAAACAGGAUUAGAUACCCUGGUAGUC
rnacentral:rRNA from 1 species